CAGUCGAGCGAGAAGUCCCCGCAAGGGGAUGAGUAAAGCGGCGAACGGGUGAGUAACACGUGGGCAACCUGCCCUUCAGUCAGGAAUAACCCCGCGAAAGCGGGGCUAAUACCGGAUGACGUCCCUCGGGGGCAUCCUUGGGGGACCAAAGGGGGCGAGCGAAAGCGGCUCCCGCUGAAGGAUGGGCCUGCGGCUGAUUAGCUAGUUGGUGGGGUAGCGGCCUACCAAGGCGACGAUCAGUAGCCGACCUGAGAGGGUGACCGGCCACACUGGGACUGAGACACGGCCCAGACUCCUACGGGAGGCAGCAGUGGGGAAUAUUGCGCAAUGGGCGAAAGCCUGACGCAGCGACGCCGCGUGGGUGAUGAAGGCCUUCGGGUCGUAAAACCCUGUCGGGUGGAACGAAUUCCGCCUCGCCAAUACCGAGGCGGCUUGACGGUACCACCGAAGGAAGCCCCGGCUAACUACGUGCCAGCAGCCGCGGUAAUACGUAGGGGGCGAGCGUUGUUCGGAUUUACUGGGCGUAAAGAGCGCGUAGGCGGUUCGAUAAGUCGGAGGUGAAAUCCCUCGGCUCAACCGAGGACCCGCGUCCGAUACUGACGAACUUGAGUGCAGGAGAGGAGAGCGGAAUUCCCAGUGUAGCGGUGAAAUGCGUAGAUAUUGGGAGGAACACCGGUGGCGAAGGCGGCUCUCUGGACUGUCACUG
rnacentral:rRNA from 1 species